AAAGCGUUAUUUUACCAUAUAUGUAAAAGCUGUAUUCAUAGUCACCAUUCCUUGAGCAUUUACUGCGUCCCCAGCACUGUGCCAGGCGCCUCAGUUGCAUUUUCUGUUAAGCCUCAAAACUUGGGAAACGUCAAUACCCCUCCUGGGGGAACCGGGGUCCACGCAGCUUCGUCAGUGGACCCACGUGGGGAAGCCGAAGGCAGCGAGUAAGAGAGCAGUAUCUGGAGUAGAGCGACGCGGCUUUGAACCCCGCUUCUGGCUCUCUCGAGCUGUGUGACCUUGGGCAACGCUCCUUAGGCCCUGAUAUCCUAUUCUGUAAAAUGGGGUUACGGAUUCUGCCUGUCACACAGGGCCGCUGUCCGGAGCACACAGGGCGCCUACGUCUUGCGGCCCUGCUCUUGGCAAGCGCUCGGCAAAUGGUGGCUGCCAUUACCGCGACCGGCGCGGCCCGAGAGCCUAGCGUCGAGAAGUGCCAGAACCCGGAUUCGAACCCGUAGGGUGGGCCGCCGUCCCGUGGGACCUCCACCCACACCCUGACCACGGCCCAGCCGGCCGAGGGCGUCCUGCAGCGGGCGUGGGCGGCCACCCCCGUGCGCCCCGCCGCCCGCCUGCGCCCGGCAGAGGCGCCGCGGUGCGCCCUGGGACGAGCCGCCGCCCUGCUCCGGGCCUCGCUCCCUGACUGGAGAGGGAGGGGCCGCGCUGCCGCUCAGCGACCCAGCCUCCCCGCCGCCGAACCCGCCGGAAACCUCGGUCCGCACGGUGCUUCCUGGUCUGCGGUUCUCCCGACCCCAGGCCCACGGCGCGGCGUCCCCCUAUGCGCGGCCUACGCAGCCUCGGGGUGGCGUGUGGCCUCCACCCGGCCGGUCCGCUUCGCUGGCAGCAGCAACUUCCCGUCUGCACCCGACUAGGUCCCGCUGCUACCCGAGAGGCAAACGGGAGACUCCCAGCGCGACCAAUAGGAGGGCCGCCAAUGGUGCGAUCCGCCCGCGGGGGGAGAAAGGGGACUUCUGGGUGGGCUCUCCCUGCGGAACACUGCGAACUACAGGCCAACCUCCCCCUCUCAAGGAGCAGGAACGAAGUAUUGAGACGACCUGAAUGUAGUUGCCGCCGAUUCUCAUCGCAAUUCAAACAUGUGUGGAACGCCAAGAUCAGCGGAAAUAACCACUCCAACCCACCACGCCCACAAGUCCCUGCGAGAUUGCCCGCCUACCUGUCUCAGCGGAGGCACAUUUCUAAAAUGUGCCGGGUCUCACACCCCGUCGCAGGUGGAGGAAAGUGGAGAGGGCGGGGCAUCCUAUACAGAAAUCUCAAUUUAUACUCAGUUGAUGGUUUCCAAGAGUUGGGGCUCGCAGCCGCAAGCGAGGCUCUCUCCCUCGCCCAGGCCCCUGCCUCCUCGUCUCCUCGUCCUGAGCAAUUCUGAUGGGUAAAAACGUUGCCUUCCGUUGAACCUGAAUGUGCUGGCAGAUGCUAGCCUUCAGCCCACAGCGCGGCUGGACCUUGUUCCCCUCCCCGGCUGUUUCUGGUCUCCGCAUCCGUCUUCUGUUGCUCCAGGUGCUUCAACAACUCGCAGCGCUCGGUGAUUGGUGAACUGUGGUAAAGUGCACGCAGAAUAAGGUCUACUUGAUUAACCACCGCCUGAGGGUUGGGGUCUGGAGGCCCAGCUGCACAGAUGAAAGGGAGGCUCGGAGACGUUUAGGACCAACCGAGAUCACACAGCUGAUUAGGAAUAAAAUUCAGGUCAAGCUGAAAGUCGGCCGCCACCGUCCAGCGUGGAUCCCAAGACACCGUGAACGGACUUGAGAAAUUGACCUUGGCGUUUUUCACCAGUGGGGUGCAGGGAAACAGUCCUCCGCCGGCCCUGCGGGCUGAUGCCGCCCCUCACCUGCUCCCGCCACCUGGAGAGGUAGAGAGAAGCCCCGAGCCAAGCAGCAUUGAGCUCUAGUCCCUUCUAUUUAAAUAUGAAAUAUUUUGCAUACACUUUUCUAGAUGUACUUAAUAUACACAGUGUUUUAAUGUUUGUGGUUUUUUGUUUUGCCAAAAAAAAAAAAACCACAAUCAGAAAUUCAUCUCUUUUUUUUUUUCACAUAACGGUUGACUUUUACAAAAUACUGGAAGGAGAGGCUCUCAGCUUAAAUAAGGGAGUCCCUGAACGGGGAAAACAUUUUCAUCUUGUUUCUUCUAACCGCCUACUGAUACUUGGCAUUUCCUCCAAUUAUGAGCACAGGCUGUCAGCCACCGUGGUAUUAACAGUGCCUGUGACUUUGUCCCCUCUAGCGACCACAGAUAUUUUCAUAACGCAUUACAGGUGCUGCAGGUUUUUCAAAAUUUGUUUGCACUCAUCUGUACUUCAAAAUAACGGUGGUUACUAGACUGCCGCUAGAUCCUGUUAGUUAAUAAGUUUACCUAUUUGUCCUGAUAUUUCAAUACCUUUGAUGUUCUUUGUAAUCCUGCAUGUUUUAUGUGCUUAAAAACACUAUUCUUCCAUAUAACCAAAGACUGCCUGUACCCCAAAAACUAUUGAGAUAAAAAUUAAUAAAACAUAUUUCACAGAAAAAAAUUAAAAACAGAAAACACUAUUCUAGGCCAGGCACAGUGGCUCACGCCUGUAAUCCCAACACUUUGGGAGGCUGAGGUGGAUGGAUUGCCUGAGCUCAAGAGUUCGAGACCAGCCUGGCCAACAUGGCGAAACCCCGUCUCUACCAAAAAAAUACAAAACUUAGCCCAGUGUGGUGGCACACGCCUGUAAUCCCAGCUACUCAGGAGGUUGAGGGAGGAGAACCGCUUGAACCCAGGAGGCGAAGUCUGCGGUCAGCCAAGAUUGCACCACUGCACUCCGGUCUUGGCAACAGAGUGAGAUUCCAUCCCCCUGCCCCACCCAAGAAAAACAACAAAACAAAACAAAAUAAAAAACACUAUUCUAAGAAGGUGUCUAUGACACAAAAAAAGCUAAGAACCCCUGGCCCAACUGUCCACAGGGGCUGCUGUUACCAGUCCUGAUUGACCUCCACUGAGAUUCAGUCUCAGGAGAUGUCCAUCAAGAUGCCUGCUCCUCACAUAGACUACUUCAGGCUAGCCUAGUGCCCUGGCCCUGGAAUUAGAAUCUUCAACAAGGACAAAAAUGUUUAAUACUGAUUCCUGCUGAGGGAGGGUACCUGAAGGCCUGCACCCUUCCUGCCAAGUUACACCGUUUCCAGUCCUUUCUGAGACCAGCUCCUCCACUUCCCCUGCCUCCUUUUCUAGGAGCUCCCCCACAUCCUUCUAGAAAAGUCUGUCCCUGAUAGUAGUUCCUGAGAAACAGUUACAUUUUCCCACAAUUCCCUGGACCUCUCCCCCCACAGAGCAAAAGGCAAAGUUCAUCAGGACCCCUGUUCUCAUCACAACAUUCUGUACUUUUUUUCUUCUUCUUCAGAGACAGGGUCUCACUCUGUGAGUGCAGAGGCGCGAUCUCAGCUCACUGCAGCCUCCACCUCCCAGGUUCAAGCGAUUCUCGUGCCUCAGCCUCUGGAGUAGCUGAGAUUACAGGUGUGCACCACCAUGUGGAUCUAAUUUUUUGUAUUUUUUAGUAGAGACGGGGUUUCACCAUUUUAGCCAGGGUGGUCUCGAUCUGCUGACCUCGUGAUCCGCCCGUCACGGCCUCCUAAAGUGCUAGGAUUACAGGCUUGAGCCACCGUGCCCAGCCCAAUUUUUGUAUUUUUAGUAGAGACUGGUUUCACCAUGUUGGCCAGGUUGGUCUGAAACUCCUAGCCUCAAGGGAUCCGGCCACCUCGGCCUCCCAGAAUUUUGAGUUUACGGGCUUGAGUCACUGCACUGGGCCAGAACACCCUGUACUUUCAAAGCAUGUACCUCAGUUGUAACUAAUGAUGAUUUUUUAAAAAUCUCUCCCUUCCACUGCUGUAAAUGCCCAUAGGGACUGACCUUAUGUCUUAUUUUGAGCUCAAUUCCAGGCCCUGCCUGGAGCUUGGUAAUAAUCAGCACUUCCUAGCUUCCAGGUGCUGUUCCAAGGGCUCACAUAUGUCACCUAAGUGAAUCCUCACAUCAACCGUUGGAUAGAGGUACUGUUAUUAUCCCCUUUCACCCAUGGGGAAACUGAGGCACAGAGAGGCAAAGAAGCUUGCCUAAAGUCCUAUAACUGGUCAUUGGUAGAGCUGGGAUUUGAAUUCAUGGGAACCAGGAUCUCAGCAACUACACUACACGGCAAAUACUGGUUUAUGAUGCUAGCGGAGGAUCCCUACUGCACGGUUGUGUGCCAGGCGCUGCAGGCGAUGCACGUGCAGACUGGUGCGGCCUCCUACAUCAUCACUGCUGCUGGCUAACUAAGUAAGGGGCCCUCAGGUGACAGCCUGCUCCUCCAGGGUCCCUCUCGUGUGCUUACUUCCUGGUGACUUUCAUGGUCUUCUCUCCUGUUUGCCAAGCCCAACUCCAGCAAUUUCUACCACAGGCAGAAAAUAUCACUGCUCUUCCUUUAUCAACAGCUACCACUUCCAAAUGAACCAGGCUGAACGCUUUAGAGCACCAUUUUAUUUGAUCAUUUCAACAACCCCAUAAAGUAGGUGCAAAAUUAUUCAUUUUACAGCUGAGAGAAGACAGACUCCAGUAAGAAGUGUGAAGUAAGAAAUGUGAAGCAUGGUGGCUGAUGCCUGUAAUCCCAGGACUUUGGGAGGCCAAGGCAGGAAAAUAGCUUGAGGCAGGAGUUCAAGACCAACCUGGCCAACACAGCAAGACCCCCAUUUCUAAAAAAGAAAAAGAAUUUUUUUUUGUAACUGGCUGGGUGUGGCAGUAUGUACCUGUAAUCCCAGCUACUCAGGAGGCUGAGGUGGGAGGAUUGCUUGAACCCAGCAGUUCCAAUCUAGCCUGGGCAAUAUAGCAAGAACCUCAUCUCCAAAAAAAAAUAAUAAAUAAUAAAUAAAUAAAACGUAUAAAAAGAAAAAAAUGAGAAUGUGGCCUUGUGACCUAUGUGUGAAAUUCAGGAUGAUAGCCAUAGACUGUUUUCAAAACAUGAUUCUUAUUUCAGGGGGAAUAAUUGGUUCCAUCAACUCUACACAGUUUACGAACAGGUCAAAAAGAAAUUGAUUGAAACGCAAAUAAUUUCUUGAAGAUUGGGAAGCUUCCUGAUGGGAAUAAACUGUGCCCUGUCAUCCGUAUGUCUGGCACGCAGAGACAGACGUCUGUCGCUCUUGUCCCUACCCCAAUUUGUCCCUCCUUAGCUCCUGACCAAGGCUCCUGGCACAGGGAGUUAGGGACAAGGCUUAUUAACUAAGCUGAGCCAAUCAGGACCCACAGCAUUGCCUUCAUAUCAUCAAAUAUCCAGUCAAUGUUGAAAUUGCCAAUGGCAAGAGCAUCUUUUGCUCUGGCUAGUUUGGGCUGGAUUUUCUGUCACUUGUGAUGGAAAGAGCUCUCACUGAUUGAGUGCUUAUUACAUAUUUGCUAAACAAAUGAAUGAACUUUUUGAAAAAAGUCUUCAUCUAAAUUUCACAGAAGUAAGUUUCACUGAGAUGAGACUAGCUAGGCUAUAAGUGAGAUUCUUAGAUUUGCAAAAUGCUUUGUAGUUUGUUGUUUGCAACUACUUAUAAUAUUACCUUCGCUCCACAACAAUCUAUGAUACGGGAGGUAUCUAUGAUACAGGUAAGUAUUUUCAAAGGAAAUGUGGUGUAUUUCUGCCCUAAAUUGAAAACUGCUGUCACUUACCAUACAUACAAUUUAAAUAUAGACAACUAUAUAUAACUACACAAUAUAUAAUUUAUUUAUUAAAAUAUAUAAUAUACAUUUGAUAUA
ensembl:lncRNA